UCCAACCAGUCCCAAAGAGAUAAACUAGGUACCUCAGUUGGAAAUGCAGGAAUCACCCACCUUCUGCAUCAAUCUCGCUGGGAGCCGCAUACUGGAGCUGUUCUUAUUCGGCCUUCUUGCCAGCAGUCCUUAAAAUACUUUCUAACUGGCCCUUGACAGAAAAAGCUUGUUGGCUCUUAAUUUAGAUCCACAACAUAUUUGGUUGAAGUUGGAUUUUUAUAUUAUCAAAUGGACUUUUCACUCCCUAGUGGAAGUCUUUCCUUCUUUCCACAAACAUUCAUUUAGCAGCUACUAUGUGCUAGGCAUUGGUGAUACACAGAAGAGAAAUAUGGCUUGCAUCCUUCAGGAUUUCACAGUUUGGUAGCAUUGCCCUCAACUUGCAUGGGCUUCCCCAUACCAGCAGAGCCAUGGGUAAGCUAACUCAACAAACACUUCCUGAAUAGAACCUAAAAUGUGCCAGAUGUUAUGUCAGGGAUAAGAGACUUAUCAAUAAACAAGCUCUUGUCUCAGCUCUCAAGGGAUUCCUAGUCUUGAAGAGUGGCCACACAGAGAGGUGAGUCACUGACACCAUGAUCAGCCAACACCAUGACAUACAGUGAGUACUCACAGAUAUGGCUGGAUGACAGAAGUGCUGUGAGAACCCAGAGGGGUCAGAAAAAUACCAUUUUUAUUUUGGCUCAUGAAAUAUGACUAAGAUAGAAGUAGCAAAAAAAUCCUGAUCUUCAUGUUAUCUGUAAGGAGACUGUGAAACCACCCCUUUCUUUUUCUUGGCAAGCCUCGCCACAUACCCGGCUAUGAGGAAUGUGAACACUGGUCAUGGUGCUCAUUAAAUUAGUCAUCUUGAUAAUUACAGGAUCUCAGAAAUAACUACUAAUCAGCCUGAAGAGAGCGCUUCUCUCAGGAUUCACUGAAAAUGCAUCUAAGAUAAGGUUGUUAACUCUGCAUAUAUGUUUAAAGGAAGUUAUAUAUGUUUUUUAAAAGUUAUAUAUUUCCUUAAGGGCUCUUACUAACCUAAUAUGGUAUCAGAAUGGCAGUUCAGUAUUCCUCCCCUACUGCUUUAAAGCUCUAUGUCUUGGGAGCAGAUGGUAAGGUAUUUGAAGUCUCUAUCCAUAGAGGAAUUUUUUCCCUCUCUCAGUAGACUGUUGUGAAACAGCAGGUAUGAGAGGACAUUUGUCAGGUGGCUGCAGUUACAAAAUAAAAGUACUAACAAAGUCAGCUUAUUAGAAAAAAGACAGCCAGGCAUGAAGUGGUUUAUGACAAUCCAAUAAUUAACCAGUGGCCAAAGCCUGUGCUUUUCACAUUUGAGUGAUGAAUAAGAACCUUCCGCAUGCAGUAGUAAAUCCCAAGUUGAAAUAUAAAUAUUACUUGCUUUAUUAAGAGGUUUGAUCUCCCAGGCUGUUGAUAUUGCUAAUAUUUUAUUUUGGUUUUAUAUCUUGGUGUUUUCACUGAUUUGAUUUCAAAUAACCAAACUGGUUAUUUUAUUUGCUUUUAAUUGACUACAUGACCCCAUUACACCACUGGUUUUCUCUUUGUAGACUCUCCCAUUUCUUUUUUUUUUCUUUUUUAAAUCUAGAAAUCUAGAAUUAACUAAGAGUUUAGGAGAACGGUUCUGCAUUUUGCCUGACUGGAACAACUGAGGAAGUGAGUAGGUUGGAACAUGACUUAUUUGAGAUUUCUACUUCGAAUUUCUUUUUCUGAAGGUCUCUGGGUUGGGACCAUGCUCACUUUGAUAGGAAGGAAGUGAUACUGUAACUCUGUGCAUCAGUUAGUUGCAUGAUAGGAACGAUGACUGACUUACAUUAUUUAAAAUUCAAUUUACAUGUUCUAGUCUCUUUGUCCAUGUAAUAUUUUUAGAUUGGCUUCCUACCGGGGAAGGGUUCCAAACAGUAACUUGGCAUCGAGCUUUUUUUUAAAGUAUAGAAUGGGGUGAUGGCAAAGUUGCAAGCAUUGGUGAAAUGCCAACUGUGUGCCAAGUACUGAGCUAAAAGUAUUUAGUGUAGCAGUUGGCAAAUUUUUCUACGGAAGAAGAGAAAGCAAAUAUUUUAGGCCAUGUCACAAUUACCCAUUUCUGUAGUAUAGCAUGAAAACUGGCAUAGAUAAUACUUAAAUAAAUGGUGUGGGUCUUGCUGUGUUCCAAUGAAACCAAAACCAGGCAGUGAGCUGGAUUUGGCUCAUGGGCUCUAUCUUGUGAAUCCCUGAUUUAGUGUUGGGAAGGGUUGUGAGAAGUCAUCUACUCAUCUCCUGUAUCCCAGGCUAUUGCAAACCUUGGCCCUUAGAUCCCAGGGUUUUCCAAUGUUGGCUGGGCCUCUGCUACACCUCUUCCCUUCAACCAGAGUAGCACAAUCAAAUAUCCAUCUAUAUUAUGGGACUUUGCAUAAGAUUCACUUGAGCAAAGCAUUUCUCAACUAGUUUUAAAAGAUUUGAAGACCCUCAAUUUUCAUCCAACUUUACAGUUGAAGCAUUGAGGCUGACAGAAGCUGAUUUCCCCCUAAAUAAUGCGUUUAGUUAUUGUCAGAGCUGGGACUUCUACUCAGCACUGGAGACUCCCAGACUCUCAGUUCUAACUACACUGUACGGGCUCCAUACUGUCAAAAUUCCCACUGAAGGAAGGACUCGUGUCUGCUUUUUGUUUGUUUGUUUUAAAUAACAGCCACUUGCCAGCAUGAGCAAUUUGUGAACAGAAAUCAUAAUAUCAAGAGACCGUAUGACAUUUUUCUGGAGUUGAGAGCGUCAACAAUUCUAUGUACAGUCUUAAAGCAGAUUUUGAACACAUAUUCUAUGACCUUGUCCUUGUGAAGGGUCAUACGAUCACAUCCAUACCUUGGAUGGUGGGGGGAAAAAAGGUCUGUAAUGUAAUUUUCUGGAAGCUGGUGACAGCUAGUGUUUAUUUUACAUCAUUAUCCUGCUUCAUAUAGAUCCACCCAGCCAUUAUGUUUCCCUAAAGUCUCUGCCUCAAAUAUAAAAUCGAAUUUUGAAUUAAAUUUAAAAAUCUAUGAUGCUUUUGGCCUUGAUGGAAGAAGUGGUACUAGAUUCUCCCCAUAGCACAGCAGGGAAAACCUAAGAGCCGGAGAACAGAGAUUUGUCUGGUGCUGCAUGCCCGGAUCUGCUACUCAGGUCUGGUGUCCCAGGCCAGUAGAGGUCCGAUCAGGUGAAGGCCGUCAGUUACCCAGCCUGGGUGCUGACUCUCACAGGACUUCAGCCCAGCCACCACCCUGGAGACCAUUAUGGAAAUUUUGUGAAACUUUCUAAAGAAGGCAAAAGCCCAAAUCAAUUUUCAAUUUGUAUCUCUUCCCCUGAAUAUAGCACACUGAAACCUCAAACAAAGGUUAUUUCAGAAAGGAAACAGAGAUGUCUUACUCAGUUAAAGCAAAUAUUCUUUCUGAACUUUGGCCAAUUCCUAUACAUUCUGUUUAUUCUGAAGAGAAGAGGGGAGAUAAAUAACACAAUAGAAAAUUCUAUUUCAGAUAGCCAAUUAUGAAUAUGCCCUCUCAUGUAAAAAUCACAUUGUUUUAUAUGUGUAAAUUUAGAAUAUUUUCUACUGCUUUAUUCUCUGGUACAAAAUAUGGUAUUUUUACAUAAUCUAAUUAAUGCAUUUUGUUGUUUUUGGUGUGAAGCAUCACAUUGCAUUAUUCACUUAGAAGACCAUAUAUUAAAGCUCUCUUGAUGGAAUUCCAUUUUGUGCGUAUGUCUGCAGUGUAUAUGCAGUUUGUGCAUGCAUGUAUGUAGUGUGUAUCUAGAAUUUGUGUAUUUUCUCAAGAAAGUAGCAUUCAGUAAAACAGUUUUAUUUUGCUGCAUUGUUUUUAUAAUUCAUUUGUUUUAAGAAAGCAGCAUCAUUUAUGUGAGAAUUAAUAACAGGGCUUGUGGAAGAAAUUGUAAAUGUUUUCCUGAUGGCUUUUUAUAUGGCUUAUUGUUAUUUUUAAAUUGUCUUUUAGUUAUAGAAGAAUUAUGGCAACAUUGUAGAAAGUAUUGAAAGCAGAGGGGAAAAUAUACCUAGAUGUGCAGAGGACUUAUAGAAAGGUUUGGAUAAUUUCAGUUUUCACCUGGAUUUAAAUCUUGUAGCCAGACUUCUCUGCUUCAGAAUUCCAGAGAACUUGAUGAACUAGGAGUAUCCCCAGCCCCCAACCUGCCUAGAUGACCAAGGCACCUCAAGGAUCUCUGGGUGGAUAAAUAAGAAUUUAGAGAGCUGAGAAGAGCAGAAGGUGAUCUAACUGGGGGGAUAAGAAAGCAAAUGGACCAGUCUGGAAGCAGGACACAGCACAACACGUUUGGCAAACCAAGGAAGGUGCCAUAGACUUGGAAUAUAGGGUCCCUGGAGUGGAGUAGAGUGGGGAAGGAGUUGAGGUGAAAGGGAGUUUUGAAUCAGAUUGUAAAGAGGCUUAAAUUUCAUAUUCUGGAGUUGAGGCUUUACUUGUUGGGCAAGGAGUGGAGUGAAGCCCUAUCAGAAGCACCUGCCAGAGUCCUGGCUCAAAUUCCUCCAUCCCAGAGAAAAAGAAAUAGAUAGGUGGUUAUAAUUAGCCAAGGAGAAGGCUCAGCCCAGCCAUGGCGUGGGGGAUGGGAUCACAAAAGGAGAUGUCCACUUUUCUCUCUUUCUUCUUCAUGUCACCUCGUUUCGCCAGGAAACUGCAGGUGCUGCCCACCUCUCUGUCUCCAGCGUCUGGGGUCGUCAUUUUAGCCUGUAUUCAGGAGGGUAGGAAAAGAAGGCAGCCUGGAAUUUAAUACGCAAUUGACGCUUUGACAGCAACACAGCUGAGCCUGAAGGACCAACCUGAGAUGGUUUUAAUAGCUGAAAGUGACCAGCAAAUUACACAAUCAGACUGAGAUGUCAUUAAGAACAUGUCCACCCAGGGAGCCACAGGAAUUCUACAAGGGACAAUUGGUGAUAAUUCUUAAAAAAGAUAAAAACAGUUCAUAUUGAGACUACAACAAAUUGAGACCACAACAAAUUGAGACCGACUUCUAAAUAGGUUAUAGCACACAGUGAUAGGAAAUUUAGGUAAUGCACAUGAGAAAGGAUUUAUAGAAAUGGGUAAGUGUUGGAGUUUCUGUAUUAUCAAGAGAUUACUGUUUCUAGGGACUGAAGGAAGAUUUUUUUAAAAAAGAGUCAAGAUAAUAUGGUUUUUUAUUAUUACGCAGAAGAUCCUUCAGUAUUUUGCUCAAUUUUAUAGUGCAAUAAUAUGAUUUUGUUGUCUUAAUAACUUAAUAAUUAAAAAAACCUCUUUCCCUAUUGAAUUGAAAUGAGUGUUUUUAGUCUUAUUAGUUUUCCCUAUUAUAACUGUUAAGGACUCCCCCACUGGCCCCCCUCUCCCCUCAACCUGAUGAACAUUUCAAGUACAUUUCUCUGUGGAGAAACUCCUUUAAUGGUUGCAAUCUAUCAAGAUGUUCUUUUGAAAUUAUUACAAAGAAGCAUUGUUGGUUAAUCAAAAAAGGAAGAAAAAUAAGAGGGAACAAAGAAGACACUGUAAAGGAAGCCUGUGCUUGCUGGGCUCUAGAUUGAAUAGUCAGAUUUAAACCCAUACUCAGAGAGAAGCUGCAAUGUGGGCAACCGCCACACUCAUUUUACUCAGCAUUCCUGGAGGGCAAGAGGGCAAUUCCUAAGGGCCUGUCUAUGGGUAAUCUGCAUUUUGUUAACUUUUAUUUUAAGGGAGGGAAUGGAUUGGAGAGGUAGAAGAGAUAGGAGAAAGAUGACUCAAUAAAUGGUUUUGAUUUUUGGCAGAAGAAGGAAUGGAUAGAGGAUUAUUUAUUCAACACACACAUACCGGAGAGAACUCAUUUUUUUCACUUUUAUAAAAAAAGAAAUUUUUAUCAUGACCACUAAUGAAAAAAUACUAUCAGUCAUCAUAAAUAGAAGAUUCACAUUAAUGCAUGUUAAAAUGUAUGUAGUUAUUACAAUUAAAAUAGUUCAGGUUCUGCCUAAAAUAAUCUCUAGUACCACCCAUGUGGGGUUAUUUUAGUGAGAGAACUAGUUUUACUCGCUGCCAUAACGCAGCUUAAAAAAAAAAAGGUAUUAAUCUCUAUUCUAUUGUCAUCUAAUUUUGAACAUAGGCGUUAAGUCCAAAGUUAGAUUCAUCAAUCAUAACACAGGAAAUGUUACUGACAUCCAUUAAGAACUCCGCAGUUGAUUAGCUCACUUGAUUAAAUAGCGGUGCAGCUAAUGGGAAAACAGGAGAGGAGCCUGCCACUCUAGCAAAGAGAAUUUCCAGCUCUGCGUCUCCAGGGAGUAAGAAAAGAGAAAUGGAAAAUAGAAAACAAAGCUGGCUGCUUCAACAGUAACUCAGUGCUCUCCAUAACAGCAAUCCCAUGCAUGGUCUCCAGAGGUACAUCUCAGUUCCCUUUUCAAUACCCAAAGCAAUUUUCCUGAGAGAUUGGAAAAUCAGGAGGAGGCAAGCCGAUGACAUUUUGAUUGCAGGCCCCACUCGGAGAGGCAUUGUGGAACUUUCUGGUUAACAAAGUUAAAACCAAAACAAAGUAAAUGACGAAUCCACCACCUCAAUCUGCAUUGUAUUUUUUGUUUUUAAAGAAAAUGGUAAAACUUUUGCUGCUGCUUUUAGUGACUGAGAUUUUCAAGAGUGGAUUGAAGAAAUUAUUAUCAGUCUGUUUGGCAGCUAAGAAACCUGCUUUGAGAUGGGUAGUUGCUUAUUAAUAAUACUGCUUUCCACUUCAGCCUCAUCUGUAAGGCACUGAACUAGCUGCUACUGGGUCUUCAACCUACCUUCAGACUUCUACUGCAUGAAGUCUUUCCACAUCUACUGUGAGAUGGAUCACUUCUUCUCCGUUCCCAGCACUUUUUGGGUAUCUCUCCUAUGUCAUAGGAGAGACAUUACAUCUAUGUAAUAGAUGUAAUGAUGUUGUACAAGGCUGAGCAACCUCAGCCUUGCUCUAAAAUUAUUUACAUCAUAGUUUACCAUUCUUUGAGGGUGGCACUUUGCAUUUCAUAGAAUAAUUGAACAUUUAGAGAAUUAAUUGAAUGAAUGCAUGGAUGCAGAGUUGGAUGGAGGAAUGGAUACAUGAUGGUAGAUGAAUGAAUGGAUGGAUGAAGGGACGAUUGGUCCAGGAGGAAAUAGAAAAAUAAUUGCAACUAUUCUUUUCUUGGAGGUGCACUGGUGUCCAGUGAGCAUGUAAUGCAGGCAGUACUGCUAACACCUACAUAACAUGCCCCGCAUCAACUAGAGCUUCGCUUUACCUCCAUAUGAAAAAAAACUUAUUUUCCAAAAAUAAUUUUUAAAAUUUAAAAAUCUGAAAAAAGAGAAGAAGAAUUGUGACUUUUACAAUACUUGACAUUAGAUGGAUAGAGACUUUGUCAUCUUUCUACAGACCUGGAUAAUGGUUUACUGGGUGAUGGUGUUGUUUAAAAUAUUUUUUGCUCUGUUUUUUGUCAUUUUCCUUUGAGUCUACCUUCUAUUUUCCUUCAUAAUCUAGAGGUAAUAUUUGCCAUAGCUUCACAUGUAGACUGAUUAGGAGGGAACUACAGGGAGAGUUUUAUUUUAAACUUAUGACUUUUUUUUCCAUCACAUCUUGAGAUAGUCACAUAAAAACUUUAUGGGACACUAUUGAUAAAUUGUAAGAACAUAAUAGCCAAAAGCUUUUUCUUUUUCUUUACUUCUUUUUUUUCUUUCUUUGUGUUCAUGGCUGUUCUUAAUAUUUAUGCUAGUGGCUUGUAAAAAUUAAGUUUAUUUUGAUUUUUUCUGUAUCUUUUUUAAUAGAAAAAAAAUGACAGAGUAGUUAAAAUUUACCCCUAAAGCUAUGGAAAUAAAAAUGAUCUAUCUUCCAAGUCACCUCUAUAAAUGUUCUUUGAAAUUAAACGGACUGUCUUGAAAA
rnacentral:lncRNA from 1 species